UACGAAGGGGGCUAGCGUUGUUCGGAAUUACUGGGCGUAAAGCGCACGUAGGCGGACUGUUAAGUCAGGGGUGAAAUCCCGGGGCUCAACCCCGGAACUGCCUUUGAUACUGGCGGUCUCGAGUCCGGAAGAGGUUAGUGGAAUUCCCAGUGUAGAGGUGAAAUUCGUAGAUAUUGGGAAGAACACCAGUGGCGAAGGCGGCUAACUGGUCCGGUACUGACGCUGAGGUGCGAAAGCGUGGGGAGCAAACAGG
rnacentral:rRNA from 1 species